UACGUAGGGUGCGAGCGUUAAUCGGAAUUAUUGGGCGUAAAGGGUGCGCAGGCGGCUUCGCAAGUCGAGUGUGAAAUCCCCGAGCUUAACUUGGGAAUUGCGCUCGAAACUACGGAGCUGGAGUGUGGCAGAGGAAGGUGGAAUUCCACGUGUAGCGGUGAAAUGCGUAGAGAUGUGGAGGAACACCGAUGGCGAAGGCAGCCUUCUGGGCCAACACUGACGCUCAUGCACGAAAGCGUGGGGAGCAAACAGG
rnacentral:rRNA from 1 species